ACUCGCUCAAGCUGCACAUGGUGCUGCUGGAACUGGAGGAUGUGGAGAAACACAUCCGUGACCUACUUGACAAGCAGGCCCAGCUGCUGGAGCGAAGAACCCCGCUGGAAACAUCUUGUACUUCCGCCUACACAUCCAAUGUAAGCAAGCAGCGUGGUAUUACCACUCCCAGCCCCUCUACGCCGUGUGUUUCUCUGUGCAGGGACUGUGCACCCAAGACUUAUCCAGCUGAGGUCUCCAUCACGCCGGCACCAACUCGCCACGGACCUUGGGUGCACCUGCAGCGAAAGGCAAGAGCCAUACCCCGGGUGAGGACCUCUCCACCUCCGAUGUUCGAGAUCCCAACCAGGAACCGCUUCGCCCCUCUCCGUCAGACCAGCCCAAACGCUGUGAUCAUUGGGGACUCCAUUGUGUAAAACGUCCUCAUCGCUUCGACAAAGGGUAAGGUGCACCCACAUUGUUUUUCUGGUGCCCGUGUCCUUGAUGUCGCUGCGCAGGUACCUGGGAUCCUGAAGAAGGACGAGUGCAUUGGAGCGGGCGUGCUAUACACGGGGGCAAACAACAUAAGGCUGCGGCAGACGGAGGUUCUGAAAAGGGACUUCGCCAGCCUGAUCAAGACGGUACAAGGCACAUCACCCACCACAAAGAUCAUCGUCUCUGGACCUCUUCCCACAUACAGACGUGGAGCUGAAAAGUUCAGUGGACUUCUUGCUUUGAAUGACUGGUUAAUUUCUUGGUGUAAUGAACAGAAUCUGCUGUUUGUUAAUAAUUGGAAUCUGUUCUGUGAGUGUCCUAGGUUGUUUCGUCCUGAUGGCCUGCACCCCAGCAGCCUCGGAGCAGAACUGCUGUCAGACAACAUCUCCAAGGCACUGCACACCAAGUGACUGCCUACCAUAAGUACAUCUUCCUACAACAACAACAAUCAUCAUAAGCAAUGUUCAAUUAAAAGUUCAACACUUGUAGUACAUACUAUAGAGACUGUGUCUGUUCCCCGAGCUAUACAAAUACAUAGAACAUUUUGGAAAGUUUGUUUUAGUAACCUAAUUAACAUAAAAUUAGGUCAUACUGAAUGCACAUCCAAUACCUUUAAUCUGAAGCUAGGACUAUUAAACAUUAGAUCUCUUGCGUCUAAGGCUGUUAUUGUUAACGAAAUCAUUACAGAUCAGGAAUGUAAUUAAAUAUGUUUAACGGAAACUUGGAUUAAAUCAAAUGAGUACAUAGCAUUAAAUGAAGCCAGUCCUCCUGGAUACAGUAAUGUACAUCAGCCUCGUUCAACUGGUAGAGGAGGAGGUGUUGGUCUCGUCCAUAGUCAAAAUCUAGGCGUCACACAAAAACCUAGUCAUAAAUUUAAUUCUUUUGAAAUUCUUUAUACCAGUAUAAAAUAUGUAGCCACAAAAAAUAAGUAAAUUCCUCUAAUUAUUAUUUACAGACCCCCAGGGCCAUAUACUGAAUUUUUUUGUGAAUUUGCAGACUGUCUCAAACCUGGUUGUGUCUGUAGAUAAAGCAUUAAUCGUCGGUUAUUUUAAUAUUCAUUUUGAUAACCCGAAAGACCCUCUGAGAAAAGCAGUUGUGUCCAUCUUAGAUUCAGUAGGGCUUAAUCAGAAUGUAAUCAGACCUACUCAUAAUGGCGGUCACACUCUUGACCUCAUAAUAACAUACGGAUUAAAUAUAUAAAAUAUUGUAAUUUUUCCACAGUCUGAAGUUGUCUCAGACCAUUAUCUUAUCUCGGUCAUAAUACGUAUUGAUCAUAAUAUUUCCACCUCGCAUCGCUACUGCGUAAAACGUACUUUCACAUCAGCUACUGCACCGAGCUUCAUAAAUAACCUCGCAGAAACAUCAAUUAAAUUAGGAUCGAUGUCUGAUCUGACAGAACUUGAUCAGGCGACUGAAUGCUUAGAGUCAACACUCCGCUACACGCUAAAGAGAGUGGCUCCACUCAAAAGAAAAUUAAUUAGAGAGAAAAAAAUAGCAUCCUGGUAUAACGAUAAAACGCGUACCUUAAAACAGACCAUUCGCCAAACAGAAGGUAAAUUGUGUCAAACCAAAUUGGUAGCAUUUCAAACAGCAUGGAAGGAGAGCCUACUGAACUAUAGAAAAUCUCUUAGUGAUGCUAGAAAAAUCUAUCUCUCCACCUUAAUAGGAGAUAACAAAAACAAUUCUAGAUUUCGUUUCAACACAGUAGCAAAAUUAACUAAGAAUAAAUCCACUACAGAAAGAAACACUCAAUCAUUACAUAGCAGUGAAGAUUUCAUGCAAUUUUUCAUUAGUAAGAUUGAAAAUAUUAGAUGUGAAAUUCAGGCUAUUAAAUUAAAACCAGACAGUAUUAUAACUAACCCUAUAGAUGAUAAUAUAGCAAUAUAAGAUCAAUGUUUAGAAUGUUUUACUCCCCUUAGAGAGACGGAACCAGCUACAUUAAUCUGUUCAGCAAAAUCAUCAACUUGCAUACUAGAUCUGUUUCUUUAAACAGAUUUGUCCUGGAGUAAUUGAACCACUUUAAAAUUAAUCAAUUCUUCCCUUAGCACUGGCUAUGUACCUAAAUCACUUAAAUUAGCAGUUAUUAAACCCCUGAUUAAAAAACCUGACCUUGACCCCUCUCAACUGUCCAGCAUUUGAGUCCAGACCUAUAUCAAAUCUCCCCUUCACCUCCAAGAUAUUAAAAAAGGUUGUAGCACAGCAGCUAUGCUCAUACUUACAUAGGAAUAACAUUCAUGAAAUGUAUCAGUCGGGGUUUAGACCUCAUCAUAGCACAGAGACAGCGCUAGUUAAAGUAGUAAACGACCUACUACUGGCCUCUGAUCAGGGUUGUGUCUUGCUGCUUGUAUUACUCGACCUUAGUGCAGCUUUUGAUACUAUAGAUCAUAUUAUUGUCCUUGAUAGAUUAGAAAAUGUUGUUGGAAUUAAGGGAACGGUCCUCUCCUGGCUCGGUAUCAGUUCGUAGAUGUAAAUGGAGACUUCUCCACGCAUACCGAGGUUAAAUUUGGUGUUCCACAAGGUUCUGUUUUAGGCCCACUGCUUUUUACUUUAUAUAUGCUACCUCUAGGUCAAAUUAUUCGUAAACAUGGAAUUAGCUUCCACUGUUAUGCUGAUGAUACACAGUUGUAUGUUUCAGCAAAGCCAGAGGACAGACAGCAGCAUUAGACGUUGGAAGAUUAUUAACUUUUAGAUUGGAAGACGUUGGAAGAUUAUUAACAGCAGAAGCGAUUAUUGACCCAGGCGAACAGUAAAUGGUAAGUGUUUCUUUCUGGAUUUUUUAGUUGAAACUAGUUUUAGCACCGAUUGUCAGAUAGAAGCUGUAACUGUGCUUCCUUGUUGCUACGAGCUGUACACUUGUUGCUAGAUUAAGCAAAUUCCGGUAUUCAGUUUUGGUUUCGGUUGGGAGUCGCUCGUUCACGCGACUACUCUAUGUUUUGCUAAUUAAAGAGGCGUGUUCAGCUGAAACACAUCAGUAUUUAUUAAUUAAGAAACGCUGAGGUGGAAGCGUCAGCCCUUGUCUUGUGAAAAGCCUUGUCUCGUGUAAAGACCUGCGCGAGUCCACCGAGCAAGGACACCGACAAGACACCACACGUGCUGCUAAGCGCAGACCGUGGCAUUCUCCCAGAAACGUACGCAACUAGGACAACCUACGCUCUCUGAAUGCGGCCUCUGCAGGUUCCAUCUCAUUCUCAGUCGGACUUUGGAACUGCCAAUCUGCUGUCAACAAGGCAGAUUUCAUUUCUGCAUUUGCAACCCACUCCAAUCUCAGCGUGCUGGCUCUGACUGAGACCUAGAUCCAUGCUGAGAACACUGCCACACCUGCUGCCCUGGCCUCCAACUUCAACUUCUCCCAUACCUCACGCCCCAACAGACGAGGGGGUGGUACAGGUCAACUGGGGAAGUUCAUCGAUGAAUUUGACAUGCUACUGUCCACCAUCCCAGAUGAUGGAACUCCCCUUCUGGUCCUUGGUGAUUUCAACAUUCAUCUAGACAAGCCACAUGCAGCUCUUUCUUGCUCUCCUUCCCACAUUCGACCUCAAGCAGUUCACCACACCAGCAACCCACAGAGCCGAACAACCUCCUGGACACCAAGCAGUCUGGCUUCAAGAGCAACCACUCCACGGAGACUGCUCUGCUUUCCGUCACUGAAGCCUUACGACUAGAUUUGAUAUUGGCCUAUAGCUGGACAAUUGAGACGGGUCAAGAUCAGGUUUUUUAAUCAAGGGUUUAAUAACUGCUAAUUUAAGUGAUUUAGGUACAUAGCCAGUGCUUAAGGAAGAAUUGAUUAUAUUUAGAAGUGGUUCAAUUAAUCCUGGACAAAUCUGUUUAAACAAACAUGUAGGUACGGGAUCUAGUAUGCAAGUUGAUGAAUUGGCUGAAGAGAAUAAUGUAGCUGGUUCGGCCUCUCUAAGCGGAGCAAAACACUCUAAACAUUGAUCUGAUAUUGCUACAUUGUCAUGUAAUGGGUUUGUUACAGUACUGUCCGGUUUUAAUUUAAUGGCCUGUAUUUCACGUCUAAUAUUUUCAACCUUAUCAAUGAAAAAUUUCAUGAAAUUUUCACUGCUAUGUAAUGAUUGAGUGUUUCUCUCUGUAGUGGUUUUAUUCCUAGUUAAUUUUGCUACUGUGUUGAAAAGGAAUCUAGAAUUGUUUUUGUUGUCUCCUAUUAAGUUGGAGAAAUAGAUUUUUCUAGCAUCGCCAAGAGAUUUCCUAUAUUUCAGUAGGCUCUCUUUCCAUGCUGUUCGAAAUAUCACCAGUUUGGUUUGACGCCAUUCACGUUCUAAUUGUCGAGUUGUCUGUUUUAAGGUUCACGUUUGAUCGUUAUACCAGGGUGCUAAUUUUUUUUCUCUAAUUAUUUUCCUUUUGAGUGGAGCCACUCUAUCUAGCGUGUAGCGGAGUGUUGACUCCAAGCUUUCAGUCGCCUGAUCGAGUUCUAUGUGAUCUGACGGUGAUCCAAAUCUAAUUGAUGUUUCUGCGAGGUUAUUUAUGAAGCUCGGUGCAGUAGCUGAUGUAUAGGUACGUUUUACGCGGUAGCAAGGCGAGGUGGAAAUAUUAUGAUCAAUGCGUAUUAUGAACGAGAUAAGAUAAUGGUCUGAGACAACUUCAGACUGCGGAAAAAUUAUAAUAUUUUCUAUACUUAGUCCGUAUGUUAUUAUGAGGUCAAGAGUGUGACCACCAUUAUAAGUAGGCCCGAUUACGUUCUGAUUAAUCCCUACUGCAUAUAAGAUGGACACAACCGCUAAUCUUAGAGGGUCUUCCAGGUUAUCAAAAUGAAUAUUAAAGUCUCAGACGAUUAAUGCUUUAUCUACAGACACAACCAGGUUUGAGACAAAGUCUGCAAAUUCACUAAGAAAUUCAGUAUAUGGCCCUGGGGGUCUGUAAAUAAUAAUUAGAGGAAUUGACUUAUUUUUUGUGG